rnacentral:rRNA from 1 species
CUCGUAGGCGGUUCAGUAAGUCGGGUGUGAAAACUCUGGGCUCAACCCAGAGACGCCACCCGAUACUGCUGUGACUUGAGUACGGUAGGGGAGCGGGGAAUUCCUGGUGUAGCGGUGAAAUGCGCAGAUAUCAGGAGGAACACCAGCGGCGAAGGCGCCGCUCUGGGCCGAAACUGACGCUGAGGAGCGAAAGCAUGGGUAGCAAACA